UGGCGAACGGGUGAGUAACACGUAGGAACCUGUCACGAAGUGGGGGAUAACGCUGGGAAACCGGCGCUAAUACCGCAUGUGGUUGGUAGUGGAGACACUGGUAAUCAAAGCAGCAAUGCGCUUGGUGAGGGGCCUGCGGCCGAUUAGCUUGUUGGUGGGGUAAUGGCCUACCAAGGCGACGACGGGUAGCCGGCCUGAGAGGGCGACCGGCCACACUGGGACUGAGACACGGCCCAG
rnacentral:rRNA from 1 species